UGCGUGCGCUAAUCAACUAUGUGUGCCUUCAGUUAUAUAUGGAGAUGCAGAUACAUAGGGGAAUUCAAUGCUCUUUGAUUACUUGAUGGUGGUGAUGAAGCUAAGUAGAAUUUAAUUUCUUAAUCUAUACCAGCUUGCAUUGGAUUAUGUAUAUUAUUCCUUUUUGAUAAGGAUGCAUCUUGAGAUUUGAGAAUAUUUAUAUUCUUAUUCUUCCUUGUUGGUGCAACUCUGAAAGUAGUUAUUGGAUUCUUUUUGCUAACAAAGGAUUCAUUUUCAUUGGUGCAUGGAAAACGGAACUAUAUUCAUUUAAAGGAAUAUUUUAUCCAUCCUAAACAAGAAGUAACUUGGAGAUUUCUUCAGUGGUGAAGAUCUUAAAGUACCAGGUUACAAAUCAAAUUAGUUACAAUUCAUGAGUUAAUUCAUAAAUAUUAAUUUUUAAGCAUAUUAUUCCAAAUUUAGUCGAUGGCCUCUUUUCCCUGCUUGGACUUCCAUGGCUCAUUGCCGUUGGUGUUCUGGGCCGACGUGUACGAGUCUCUUAGCUUCGACUUUGAGCUCCGGAAGGAUAUAUAGAGAGAAAAUGGCAUGAAAAAAUAAGAAGAUAGCAUAUAAAAGUGAGGAAUCAUGAAAAUUAGAAGCUUGGGAGUUUUGCCAGCCUGCGUACGCGAGAUCACACCCGCAUACGCAUCGCCUGAGUUUUGACAGUCCCGUGUACGCGAGACCAUGGCCGCGUACGUGACCCUUGAAUUUUGACAAUCUCGCGUAUGCAUGCACUUGUCGCGUACGCAAGAUACCCAGAACGUGCCUUAUUAAAGAAAUGUGUAAGGGGCAAUUUCUGAAAAUUUUUAGACCCAUUUCCAAGUCCAAAUGGAAGUUAAUUGAUGGAAGGAUGGA